rnacentral:rRNA from 1 species
AUGGCCGCCGCGGCUAAUGCGGCCACGGCGGCGGCCAGUCCGCGUGCGCCGGUGGCCGAGAGUCCGCGUGGGGCCGCAUCCGCGAGAACAAAGAAAGAAAGUGCAAGUACUGGAGUAAAACGAAGAGGUGGUCCAGGGGGAUUAAACAAAAUCUGUGGUGUUUCGCCUGAGCUGCAAGCUAUUGUUGGUGAACCAACAAUGGCUAGGACUGAGAUCGUUAAGCAGCUUUGGGCGUACAUUCGCAGGAAUGACUUGCAGGACCCAAACAAUAAGAGAAAGAUCAUAUGCAAUGAUGAGCUACGAUUGGUUUUUGAGACUGAUUGCACUGAUAUGUUCAAGAUGAACAAGCUUUUAGCGAAGCAUAUAAAACCACUCGAGCCAACAAAUUCAAAUCGAGAUAUGAAGAAGCUGAAGCCUGUGGAAGAUGUUCCCGUUCCUCUUGCCGAAGAUGUUGCUACAAACCAACCGCCACUUAACGUGUCUGAUGCUCUUGCUAGCUUUUUUGGAACCGGAGAAAGAGAGAUGUCCCAAUCCGAGGUUGUCAAGUGUGUUUGGGACCACAUUAAAAGCAACAAUCUAGAGGAUCCAUCAAAUCCCACGAUGAUAUUAUGCGACUCUAAGCUUAAAGAUCUCUUUGGAUGUGAAAGCGUAACUGCUUCGGCUGUUUCAGAGUUGCUGUCAGACCACCUUUUCAAGCAACCUAACAAGAUCUGA